rnacentral:tRNA from 1 species
GUGUGCUUGAGUUGUGCAGAACGUUCGAUCUGAAGUCUCACGACGCAGGUUCGAUUCUCUUUGU